rnacentral:rRNA from 1 species
UACAGAGGAUGCAAGCGUUAUCCGGAAUGAUUGGGCGUAAAGCGUCUGUAGGUGGCUUUUUAAGUCCGCCGUCAAAUCCCAGGGCUCAACUCUGGACAGGCGGUGGAAACUACCAAGCUGGAGUACGGUAGGGGCAGAGGGAAUUUCCGGUGGAGCGGUGAAAUGCGUAGAGAUCGGAAAGAACACCAACGGCGAAAAGCACUCUGCUGGGCCGGAACACUGACACUGAGAGACGAAAGCCAGGGGAGCAAACGGG